rnacentral:miRNA from 1 species
GGUUUCUCUGUGUAGCCUUGGCUGUCCUGGCACUCACUCUGUAGACCAGGCUGGCCUUGAACUCAGAAAUCCGCCUGCCUCUGCCUCCCGAGUGCUGGGAUUAAAGGCGUGCGCCACCACGCCCG